GGAGAGAUGCCGGAGUGGUCGAACGGGGCGGUCUCGAAAACCGUUGUGGGGGCAACCCCACCGAGGGUUCGAAUCCCUCUCUCUCCGCCA
rnacentral:tRNA from 1 species